CUGGCUCANAUUGAACGCUGGUGGCAUGCUUAACACAUGCAAGUCGAACGGUAACAGGAGAAGCUUGCUUCUUGCUGACGAGUGGCGGACGGGUGAGUAACGCGUAGGAAUCUGCCCAUCUGUGGGGGAUACCAGUUGGAAACGACUGUUAAUACCGCAUAAUAUCUGCGGAUUAAAGGUGGCCUUUGUGCUGCCGCAGAUGGAUGAGCCUGCGUUGGAUUAGCUUGUUGGUGGGGUAAAGGCCUACCAAGGCUACGAUCCAUAGCUGAUUUGAGAGGAUGAUCAGCCACAUUGGGACUGAGACACGGCCCAAACUCCUACGGGAGGCAGCAGUGGGGAAUAUUGGACAAUGGGCGAAAGCCUGAUCCAGCAAUGCCAUGUGUGUGAAGAAGGCUCUAGGGUUGUAAAGCACUUUAGUUGGGGAGGAAAGCUUAUAGGUUAAUAGCCUAUGAGAAGGACGUUACCCAAAGAAUAAGGACCGGCUAACUCCGUGCCAGCAGCCGCGGUAAUACGGGGGGUCCGAGCGUUAAUCGGAAUUACUGGGCGUAAAGGGUCUGUAGGUGGUUUGUUAAGUCAGAUGUGAAAGCCCAGGGCUCAACCUUGGAACUGCAUUUGAUACUGGCAAACUAGAGUAUGGUAGAGGAAUGGGGAAUUUCUGGUGUAGCGGUGAAAUGCGUAGAGAUCAGAAGGAACACCAAUGGCGAAGGCAACAUUCUGGACCGAUACUGACACUGAGGGACGAAAGCGUGGGGAUCAAACAGGAUUAGAUACCCUGGUAGUCCACGCUGUAAACGAUGAGUACUAGCUGUUGGAUUCGGUGUAAAGGAUCUAGUGGCGCAGCUAACGCGUUAAGUAUCCCGCCUGGGGAGUACGCUCGCAAGGGUGAAACUCAAAGGAAUUGACGGGGGCCCGCACAAGCGGUGGAGCAUGUGGUUUAAUUCGAUGCAACGCGAAGAACCUUACCAGGGCUUGACAUACUACAGAUCUUUUAGAGAUAAAAGAGUGCCUUCGGGAAUGUAGAUACAGGUGGUGCAUGGCUGUCGUCAGCUCGUGUCGUGAGAUGUUGGGUUAAGUCCCGCAACGAGCGCAACCCUCGUUUUUAGUUGCCAAUUUAUUGGGCUUUCUAGAGAGACUGCCGGUGACAAACCGGAGGAAGGUGAGGAUGACGUCAAGUCAGCAUGCCCCUUAUGUCCUGGGCCACACACGUGCUACAAUGGCGGAGACAAAGAGUCGCAAACCUGCGAAGGCUAGCUAAUCUCAUAAACUUCGUCUAAGUUCGGAUUGUAGGCCGCAACUCGCCUACAUGAAGUUGGAAUCGCUAGUAAUCGCUGGUCAGCUAUACAGCGGUGAAUUCGUUCCCGGGCCUUGUACACACCGCCCGUCACACCAUGGGAGCUGGUCAUACCCAAUACCGUUAGUCUAACCAUUCGGAGGACAGCGCUUAAGGUAGGGCUAGUGACUGGGGUGAAGUCGUAACAAGGUAACCGUA
rnacentral:rRNA from 1 species